rnacentral:rRNA from 1 species
UUCCGGUUGAUCCUGCCGGAGGCGACCGCUUUUGGAGUUCGAUUAAGCCAUGCGAGUCGAGAGCCUUAGGGGCUCGGCAUACUGCUCAGUAACACGUGGAUAACCUGCCCUAUUGUCUGGAAUAACCUCGGGAAACUGAGAACAAGGCCGGAUAACCCACAAUGCCUGGAACGGUUUGUGGGUGAAGAUAGGAUGGGUCUGCGGCGUAUCAGGUCGUAGGGGGUGUAAUGGACCUCCUAGCCAUCGACGCGUACGGGUGUUGGGAGACAUAGCCCGGAGAUGGAUUCUGAGACACGAAUCCAGACCCUACGGGGUGCAGCAGGCGCGAAAACUUCACACUGCAGGAAACUGUGAUGAGGGAACUCCUAGUGCAUGCACUAUGUGUAUGUAGAUCCUACUCUUAACAAGUAGAGGGAAAGGGCUGGGAAAGACCGGUGCCAGCCGCCGCGGUAAUACCGGCAGCUCAAGUGGUCGUCGCUUUUAUUGGGCCUAAAACGUCCGUAGCCUGUUUGGUAAAUCUGUGGGUAAAUCAAUCCGCUCAACGGAUUGAAUUCUGCAGAGACUGCCAGACUAGGGACCGGGAGAGGUGUGGGGUACUCGAGGGGUAGGGGUAAAAUCCUGUCAUCCUUCGAGGACCACCAGUUGCGAAGGCGCCACACUGGAACGGAUCCGACGGUCAGGGACGAAGCCUAGGGGCACGAACCGGAUUAGAUACCCGGGUAGUCCUAGGUGUAAACGCUGUGAACUUGGUGUCGGGGGUCCGCAAGGGGUCCCCGGUGCCGGAGUGAAGAUGUUAAGUUCACUGCCUGGGGAGUACGGUCGCAAGGCUGAAACUUAAAGGAAUUGGCGGGGGAGCACUGCAACGGGAGGAGCGUGCGGUUUAAUUGGAUCAACGCCGGA